rnacentral:lncRNA from 1 species
CUUUUGUUACAUCUUCUGACAUCAGACUCGGACUUCUCUUGAACUGAAUUUUAAUGUGCGUAUUGUUAUGCGUUUACUUUUCUGCAUUGGCUAGAGGUAAAGGGGGAGGGUUGAGAUUUCAUAAGCAUGUUUAACCCCGCCGCAGUUUUGCGCCUGUCCCAAGUCAGGAGCCUCUGGCCUUUGUUAGUCUUGUAUUAUUUUUAAUUUUAGUUUCUUGUGUAUAAUUUGGAGUUUAGUAUGGCGUUCAUUAUCACUAAACUUGUAUAUAUAUUUGUUUAAGGGCCAGCUGAAGGACGCCUCCGGG